rnacentral:rRNA from 1 species
UGUAAGCGUAUACCAAAGUUGUUGCAGUUAAAACGCUCGUAGUCGGAAUUUGGCAGUUCCGGAUGUGUGCACGUCGUGUGCGCACUUCGCGGGGAUUGCUUUUGUGGUCUUGCGUAGGAUGAGGCACUUUUAUUAGUGAACGUCCUCACGCAACCACUUUUUACUGUGAGAAAAUCAGAGUGCUCAAAGCAGGCAUUUGCCGUGAAUGUAUUAGCAUGGAAUAAUAGAAUAGGACUUGGUUCUAUUUUGUUGGUUUGUUGGGACUGAGUAAUGAUUAAGAGGGACAGUUGGGGGCAUUUGUAUUUCGGUGCUAGAGGUGAAAUUCUUAGAUUACCGAAAGACAAACUGUUGCGAAAGCGUCUGCCAAGGAUGUUUUCAUUGA